AGAGGGCAGGGAUGGAUGGGGUCUAGGGAAGGAAUUCCUGGCUGGGAGAGUGGACAGGUCCUGGCACAGGGUGCCCAGAGAAGCUGCCUCCUCUCACCAGGACGUGGGUAAGCUGGGAGAGCACAGGAGGUCCUGCAUGUCCCUGGGCUUGACAGAGAUGGAUGAGCAGAGAAACAAUGAAGGUAAAAGUUCUCCAGCCUUGACCAGGAUGUGAACGUGUGUUUGUUGGGUGAGUGUAUCGAGAUUAUUGUAAGAAAAGAGACGUGGGGUUUCCACAGAGACACUGGAUGAUUGUCAUGCCAAGGGCAGACACAGCAGAGAGGAUGACAGGGCAGGGGGUGCAAGUUUACACCAGUGGCUCCUGUCAAGCACUUCACUGGGUUUCGGUGCUGGAAUUGGGAGAAGUGGAAUUGAAGUGGAGCUUAAAAAACAGACAGAACUCAAGCAAAAAGGACAAGUUUUGUGUGCAACUGGGUUUAAUAGUUUCUUCAGUCCUAAAAUUGUUUUCUCACGGUAUGUUUCAAACCUAGAAAAAUGAUAACAUAGGAUGGUUUCAAAGCCUAAACAAAUCUCAUUGAAUGCUGUUUUUCAUUAAUGAUUUCUGGGCACUCCAGAAAACAUUUCUAGACUUGCCUUGUUCACAAUAGCUCCUUUGAUGGCCAGAAUUGAAUAUGCGAGGGAUAAAUAUGUGUAUUUUUAAGCCAAGUAUUUUGCUCAGUAACAUGAUGAAAAAGUGCAAAAAGAUUUAAAAAUGAAUACUUUGUUUAAGUCUUGCAAGAACUCCAAGAUUUUCAAGUACACAGACUUCUCCUUCCAGUUUUUUAGGAACAGUAAAUUUUUGGUAGCAUCCCUCUGUUACCCUGCAAUUUCACAUCCAUUUCCAUGUCUGUUGUGUUGUUAGUCUGCCUCCUGCUUUGUGGUUUAUUUGGGGGGUAAACUGUCUUUUUUUAUUGUUUUUGUUGCCUUUUGUGAGCGUGCCAGAGGCCCUAGGGUGCCAAUAAAUGAGAAUAUUAGUGCUCCCUUUGACUGCUGUUUCCCUCUGCUUGUUUGUGACCUAAUCCUGAAUCUCCGCCCAGCCUGCUGAGCUGAAUUUUCUGAUCAGGUAAGGAGGAGCAGUGGGUCAAGAGACACUCUGACCAAAUACUGACAGAAGUGUCCCCUCUGUGCAGUUAUGAAGGUUAUGUGUCAUUGCUGGGUCACUGGAGGCACUGAAUGUUUCUUUCCUACAGGUUAUUUUUCACACCAGUACCUACUUACUUCAUCUCUGGUUAUACUUUGCUGGCGUUGAUCCGGAGCAGAACACACACAGCAAAAUAAGGAAAAGAAACGCCACCAACGCAGCAAGGCCGACCCAAAAGGCAAUGACGAUGGAGUCUGUGGGCACAGCAGGGUAAUUCUGUCCACGUGCAUUCUGCAUGCAGAAAUAAAACACAGCAAGGGGCUUUAUCAUCUCUAGUAAAGCAUGCUAGAAACCUUAUUCUGCUCUGACUGCUCAAGGACACUUGGCAGCAUCUACAGGUGCACCUCAAGGAACCUCGACUACGAGAGAGAUUUGUUCUGUUUGAGUAUUGGCUCCAUGGACAGGUAAAUACAGAAUGUUUGUGGGUCAGCCUGCCAGCUCCAUUUCACUCACCAGGCAUCACACUGAGGGUGCUCCUGUCAUAUCUCUGGGAAGUCUCGAGGCAGCUUUUCCUGCUGCUCUGUCCCAGAGUGGUUUUCCGUAUUGCUGCUGUUGGCAUCAGAGUGCUCAGUUGUGAGGAACAUCACCUGUGUAAGGCAAAUGCUAGAAAAAAAAAAAACCAAACAGCCAGGUCUGCCUUUUGUAUGAGAAAUUGUGUUCUUGAUCAAGUUACUAUUCUUUAGAUAAUUCAUUUUUAGUUUAUCAAGGGAGAGAGGAGUUUCUCUUGUGUUAUAGAUCUCUAGGAAACACAGUUGUAACUUCUUGUGUUUCUAUGUCACACAUGGUACUGUCUGGAGAAAAUUUGCUAUUGUGGCACUUUCCCUUCCAUGUCGCAGUGCUCUCACCAGUCUGAGUGGACUGAAGCUGCUUACAGGGUUUCUUUUUAAGGAUGCUUUGCUAAGGACUAAAACAAUAACAGUUCUUUAUUUUUGGGAUAA